UUUUCCCUACGGGGGGCAGCAGUGGGGGAUAUUGCACAAUGGGGGGAAUCCUGAUGCAGCGACGCCGCGUGGGUGAGGAAGUACCCCGGUAUGUAAAGCCCUUUCGGCAGGGAAGAAAAUGACGGUACCUGGCGAAGAAGCCCCGGCUAACUACGUGCCAGCAGCCGCGGUAAUACGUAGGGGGCAAGCGUUAUCCGGAUUCACUGGGUGUAAAGGGAGCGCAGGCGGUACGGCGAGUCUGAUGUGAAAACCCGGGGCCCAACCCCGGGACCGCACCGGAUACUGCCGGACUCGAGUGCCGGAGG
rnacentral:rRNA from 1 species